rnacentral:rRNA from 1 species
AGUGAACGCUGGCGGCGUGCUUAACGCAUGCAAGUCGAACGAGAAACGGAUUUAGCUUGCUAAAUUGCAGUCUAAGUGGCGCACGGGUGAGUAAUGUAUAGGUAAUAAGCUUCUUACUAAGGGAUAACUAUUGGAAACGAUUGCUAAUACCAUAGAUGACUUUAAUACGAAAGUAGGCAAGGGAAAGAUCUAUUGGUAAGAGAUUAGCCUGUAUGGUAUCAGCUUGUUGGUGAGGUAAUGGCUCACCAAGGCUAUGACGCCUAACUGGUUUGGGAGAAUGAUCAGUCACACUGGAACUGAGACACGGUCCAGACUCCUACGGGAGGCAGCAGUGGGGAAUAUUGCACAAUGGACGAGAGUCUGAUGCAGCAACGCCGCGUGGAGGAUGACACAUUUCGGUGCGUAAACUCCUUUUAUAUAGGAAGAUAAUGACGGUACUAUAUGAAUAAGCACCGGCUAACUCCGUGCCAGCAGCCGCGGUAA